rnacentral:ncRNA from 1 species
AUAAUUGCAUAUGACUUCUUUCGUAUAACCUUAAUAAUUGGAUUAAGGGUCUCUACUUAGAAACCGUAAAUUUCUAGCUACGAAAAAUGUGCUGCAGAUG